AAACCAACAGGGAUUGCCUCAGUAGCGGCGAGUGAAGCGGCAAGAGCUCAGAUUUGAAAUCUCACCUAGUGUGCGAGUUGUAAAUUGCAGGUUGGAGUCUCGGGUUAGACGUGUGUGCAAGUCCCUUGGAACAGGGCGCCACUGAGGGUGAGAGCCCCGUAGCGUGCAUGUCGACACCUGUGAGGCCCUUCUGACGAGUCGAGUUGUUUGGGAAUGCAGCUCUAAGUGGGUGGUAAAUUCCAUCUAAGGCUAAAUAUUGGCGAGAGACCGAUAGCGAACAAGUACUGUGAAGGAAAGAUGAAAAGCACUUUGAAAAGAGAGUGAAACAGCACGUGAAAUUGUUGAAAGGGAAGGGUAUUGGGCUCGACAUGGGAUUUACGCAUCGUUGCCUCUCGUGGGCGGCGCUCUGGGUUUUUCCUGGGCCAGCAUCGGUUUUCGUUGCUAGGAUAUGGACAAUUGGAAUGUGGCUCUCGGAGUGUUAUAGCCUUUUGG
rnacentral:rRNA from 1 species